CUUGGAUUAUUACAACAGCCAGAGAAUGUGAUGGACACUGGCAAUAGUCAGUCUCUCUCUACAAGGGAAGGAAAAUGGCUAUUGGCACCCCAGAUUCACCUCUUCCUGGUUUAGCAACAUCAUUGGACUCAACAGAGACAUCAUCUCCUAGAUCCUCCAAAUCUGGAUGGAGGACCUAUUCAUUGUGUUCCAUUAAGCCCUCCACCGCCCAACCCUCACAUCACCAGGACUCUGAUGAUCGUCAUUCACUACCAUUACACUGUAAUCUCCUUGAGAGCAUGGAGAUUCAAGCAUCCUCAGCACUGUGCAGCAUACAACAGGUUCUCAGUAAACAUGCAUUGAAUAAAGAAUGAUUAGACUAGAUGGCUUCUGAGCUUCUUUCUGAUCCUAGCAUUCUUUGGAUGUUCCUGAACCUUCAAUGUCUUAGGCUAGC
rnacentral:lncRNA from 1 species